CAUUCUUGUCAAUUAUUGUAAGAUUUCCAAUUUCACUUCAUAAUCAAUAUGUGUUUUAUUUUAUUCAUAUUAUUAGGUGUUUACAACAUCCAGAUAGUGAUUAAGAAACUUACUACCAAAAAUGUUGAUAUGGUGGAGCUCUAUGCUGAUGUAAGGGGAGCGGUGUCCAUAGAGAAUAUAUUGGGUUCUGAUGCCAUCAGCAUCCCUAUGCAACACUUUGCUUUGGAGGGUCAGACACCAAAAACAAGAAAAUAAAACUCCUUUUAUGUCCUCAAUAAAUGCCUGUUAACAAAUGACAAGCAGAUAUGGAACAAAUACUCAAGCACACACUGAUACAGAACAUGUGCUAGUUCAGGGAAGUUGGUAUAUUUGCACUGAGUUGUGAAAAAUUUCAAAACUUGGAUGCUGAAAGCUCUUUUUUACAUUGAAGCUUCAUCAUCAACAAAUGCCGUGAAAUACCACACAAAACUGCUAAAAUUACAUGGGCCUAUGGAGAAAGCGCUGCUUUCUCGUUCUUCCAUAGACCGUAUCUCUCAUUCUUAGGACCAGGGGCACUUACUCAAAUGAACGCUUUACUUGGGUUAUUUCUGUUUUCUCUUCACUCUGAAGAAGAUAGACUCUUUAGGAUCAUUCUGAAUAUUUCAAUGUCUCAGUAGGCGAGCAGUCUGGGACUGCUUAUGGGUUUAACUACAACAAACAUUUGCUCAUCACUGUUUUUCAGAAAGCACCCAGGCUGUACAGAAAUGGGCCAACACAUUUGUGCUAGCCAUGGGCACUCUAGCUAUAUGAGGCAUGCACAAAAAAUCUAAUUAAAUCCUAGAAAUCCAACUCAAAAGGAGCAUUCUGGAUUCAUGAUGUAUUGUGUCUGUAAGCGAUUGCUAGUCUUUGCAAGACAAAGGAUAUGUGAGCGAACCUACCAUAAGGAGAUGCUCUUAAUUGGACCCAAGACAAGAGCACAGCAAAACAGGGCUUAAAUGAUGAGCAAGGAUAUCACCUCUUCUGAAAGUAUUUCUACGGACAAUAUGACCCCGUGCAUUACAAGAAGGAGAAGCUCUAAGUUCAGGACAAUAACUGGAACAGGAUGUGUGUCUUGAAGAGGUUGAGGCAGAUAAAUAUACUGAAUACACCACACUGUCCUGACCAGGCCAGGAAGUCUAGUGUGUACUGGGUUCCCAAGACUGAUGAUACACCUACCUCUAAUGACGUGGUCCCUCCGAAAUAUCCACUCUAGCCUGCAGGAGAAUUGCCACAGCCUCAGGAAUAUGGGGCUGGGCUGGAGGGUGUCAGUUGAACUUCUCGGCAUUCUCACGUGGCUCUCACUCUUUUGGACUUACUAUCUGCGAUUGCACAUCUGCCAGUGUCCUUUGUCUGUUAUUGGAGAAUGCUGCUGGCCUCUUUGCUGUGUAUCCUGAUUGCAGUGACUUCCUUCUGUAGCUUCUAGAUAAGCAAAUUUUCUUGAUUUAUCAGGAGGUGUCUUUGGUCUCUCAGUCAAUUCGAUCUUAUUAUUGACAUUUAUCAACAUGGUGGGUGUAAGAUCUUUUAAUCUAACAAGUUACAUACAUACAUUUUCAAAUACUAAGUGAUUCUUGCGUUGCUGGAAUGCAUGCUACUAGUUUGUAAGCCUUUAAAAUUUUUUUCAUAUAUUACUGGAACAAAAUAUAUUCAAGAAUUUAUUAUAUGAUAACAUAAGUUACUUCUCAAUUCAGUGUGGUAAAGAUGGACUUUCAAUAUAAGGUGUUGUGAAAAGUGGGUAAGAUAUAGAAAAAUGUUAAAUUAGAUUCAUCUUUUACACUGUACACCAAUGUACUCUACAAAUAUGCCCAUGAUUAAAUGUAAACUAUGAUGCAAAAAGGUAAAGGUACAAGAAGAAAAUAUCUGUGCAUUCCCCUAUAAGUCUGGAGUAGAAAAAGUCUUUCUAAACCAAGUCUCAAAAUGCAGAAACCAAGGAUAAGAAAAAGGUUGAUAAAGUAGAUACAUAAAAAUAGAAAAGUUCUACAUGGCAAAAGACACCACGAACAAAUCUAAAACGAUUACGAAUUGAGACGAAGCAUUUGAAAUAUAGAGCAGGAGCAACACUUUAAAUGCCCCUAGAUGCUUUCUCUAAUCCUUUAAAAGCUCCUGGAAAUUGAGAAGAAAAAGAUCAACUUGAAACAAAACCUACAGUUCACAGAAAAAGAAACACAAAGGAUCCCACCAUAUGAAGAGAUGUUCAACCUUACUCAUAAUAAGAAAAAAGCACAUAAAAACUACUCUAAGAUAAUCCUGUUCAGCACCAGAUUACCAAAGCUCCCAACAGCAAGCGGGGGAAGAAAGCGUGUACACAUCGCUUGAAUAGGCAUCCAAAAUGGAGCCAACGACAGGAGGGCAAUUUGGCCAGACCAGC
ensembl:lncRNA